rnacentral:rRNA from 1 species
AGUGAACGCUGGCGGUAGGCCUAACACAUGCAAGUCGAACGGCAGCACAGGAGAGCUUGCUCUCUGGGUGGCGAGUGGCGGACGGGUGAGGAAUACAUCGGAAUCUACUUUUUCGUGGGGGAUAACGUAGGGAAACUUACGCUAAUACCGCAUACGACCUACGGGUGAAAGCAGGGGACCUUCGGGCCUUGCGCGAUUGAAUGAGCCGAGGUCGGAUUAGCUAGUUGGCGGGGUAAAGGCCCACCAAGGCGACGAUCCGUAGCUGGUCUGAGAGGAUGAUCAGCCACACUGGAACUGAGACACGGGCCAGACUCCGACGGGAGGCAGCAGUGGGGAAUAUUGGACAAUGGGCGCAAGCCUGAUCCAGCCAUACCGCGUGGGUGAAGAAGGCCUUCGGGUUGUAAAGCCCUUUUGUUGGGAAAGAAAUCCAGCUGGCUAAUACCCGGUUGGGAUGACGGUACCCAAAGAAUAAGCACCGGCUAACUUCGUGCCAGCCGCCGCCGUAA